GACGAAUGCUGGCUGCGUGCUUAACACAUGCAAGUCGAACGGUGAAGGAGGGCUUGCCCUCCGGAUCAGUGGCGAGCGGGUGAGUAACACGUGGGCAACCUGCCCCUCACUCUGGGAUAACGCCGGGAAACCGGCGCUAAUACCGGAUACGACCAGGCGCGACAUCUCGCCUGGUGGAAAGAAUUUCGGUGAGGGAUGGGCCCGCGGCCUAUCAGCUAGUUGGUGGGGUAACGGCCCACCAAGGCAACGACGGGUAGCCGGCCUGAGAGGGCGACCGGCCACACUGGGACUGAGACACGGCCCAGACUCCUACGGGAGGCAGCAGUGGGGAAUAUUGCGCAAUGGGCGAAAGCCUGACGCAGCGACGCAGCGUGAGGGACGAAGGCCUUCGGGUUGUAAACCUCUUUCAGCGGGGACGAAGCGAAAGUGACGGUACCCGCAGAAGAAGCACCGGCUAACUACGUGCCAGCAGCCGCGGUAAAAC
rnacentral:rRNA from 1 species